rnacentral:lncRNA from 1 species
UUCCUUUUUCCUUUUUUCCCUUUCCCUUCCCAUCCCUCCCGUGCCCGACCGAGGGCCCAGCAGACGAGCGCCCGUGCUUCUUCCUCCUCUCCUCGUUCUUCUCUUCUGUUCUUCUGUGUUCUUCAUUUUCUCCUCAAAUGCCCCCAUUUUCUAGCCCAAAUUAGUGCACUUUGAUCCCAUUUAACUCACAAAAUCGCAUCCCCUACCUAGUUGGCA